GUUUCUAUAUGGAUUAUAUAAGUGUCAGAAUUAAUGGUUUUGAACUGAUUGUGAGGUACCAGUGCAGUAGGAAGAGUUACUAGAAGUGGAACAAGGAGUCUUGAUUUUAAAAGAAACGUGGCUUUGCAGUGGAUAAAGGAAAAAUGCUCCAGAGAGCGCUCAAAUCUGACAUUGCAAUGUUGCCAGCCCUUCCGGUUAUUCUGUUUUUAUUUAAAUUCAAAAGACCAAGGCCAGGCACGGUGGCUCACGCCUGUAAUCCCAGCACUUUGGGAGGCCGAGGUGGGUGGAACACCUGAGGUCAGGAGUUUGAGACCAGCCUGGCCAACAUGGUUAAACCCCGUCUUUACUAAAAAUACAAAUAUUAGCCGGGUGUGGUGGUGCACACCUGUAAUCCCAGCUACUCGGGAGGCUGAGGCAGG
rnacentral:lncRNA from 1 species